rnacentral:rRNA from 1 species
ACGCUGAAACACCGGUUCUCGUUCGAUCACCGAAGUUAAGCAUCGUAGAGCCAGGUCAGUACUUAGAUGGGGGACCGCUUGGGAACACCUGGUACUGUAAG